rnacentral:rRNA from 1 species
UACAGAGGUCUCAAGCGUUGUUCGGAUUCAUUGGGCGUAAAGGGUGCGUAGGUGGUGCUGUAAGUCAGGUGUGAAAUCUCGGGGCUCAACCCCGAAACUGCACUUGAUACUGCAGUGCUCGAGGACUGGAGAGGAGAUCGGAAUUCAUGGUGUAGCAGUGAAAUGCGUAGAUAUCAUGAGGAAGACCAGUGGCGAAGGCGGAUCUCUGGACAGUUCCUGACACUGAGGCACGAAGGCCAGGGGAGCAGACGGG